rnacentral:rRNA from 1 species
UACGGAGGAUGCAAGCGUUAUCCGGAAUGAUUGGGCGUAAAGCGUCCGCAGGUGGCUGUGUAAGUCUGCUGUCAAAGAGCAAAGCUCAACUUUGUAAAGGCAGUGGAAACUACACGGCUAGAGUGCGUUCGGGGCAGAGGGAAUUCCUGGUGUAGCGGUGAAAUGCGUAGAGAUCAGGAAGAACACCGGUGGCGAAGGCGCUCUGCUAGGCCGCAACUGACACUGAGGGACGAAAGCUAGGGGAGCGAAUGGA